UGUGUCCUAAGUUUCAAGUUGAUUGGACUUCAACUUCAUCAAAAACUACCUUGACCAAAAACUUUAACCUGAAGCAGAACAGACAGAUGAACGAAAGGACACAGACCAGAAAACAUAAUGCCCCUCUUACUAUCGUAGGUGGGGCAUAAAAAUGCACUUGACCCUUCCUUUUAAACCUCAGAUGGUGUUGUAACAAUUAACCAAACAACAACUUAAAAACAGUUGGAAACGGCUUCAAAACACACAAAAACAAAACAAAUAACAUAGAAACAAAACACAAAGUACGAUCUGAGAGCAACAGCAGUUAUUGAAAGCUAGUUCAAAGCACACCUCAACUAAUAGAUAAAUCUUGUUAUCCAAUAAAAUUGAGAAUGGAAAUGGGGAAUGUGUCAAAGAGACAACAACCUGACCAUAAAAAAAACAAC
rnacentral:lncRNA from 1 species